GUGCUCGCUUUGGCAGCACGUAUACUAAAAUUGGAACAAUAUAGAAAAGAUUAGCGGGACCCCUGCACAAGGACGACACGCAAAUUCGUGAAGCACUCCAUAUUUUU